rnacentral:rRNA from 1 species
AUGUCCAUUGCUGGCAGACGAGUGCUUGUACGCUGUGUUCUUAGUGCUCUGCCCACAUUUGCGAUCGCCGUCCUAAAAGUGCCCAAAAAAUUCUUCAAGGAAGUGGAAAAAACGAGGAGACGUUUUCUCUGGGCCCAGGAGAAGGAACUAACAGGUGGAAAAUGCAAGGUAAACUGGUCAGCAGUCUGCUCCCCAACUGAUCAUGGGGGACUUGGGAUACACGACCAGCAGAAAUUCAGCUCGGCAUUGAAGCUUCGCUGGCUCUGGAACUCUUGGAGUCACCGGGAUCGCCCAUGGGUAGGAACCAAGCUUCCAUGCGAAGACAAGGAGAGGCAGCUCUUUAGUGCUGCCACCUUGGUGACACUUGGAAAUGGUGCUUUGGCCUCUUUCUGGAGCUGCCAAUGGACUGGAUCAAUGCCAUUGAGGUUUUCAUUCCCAGUGCUGUUCAAGCAUUCGAGGGGCAAAAACAGAACAGUCAGGGCUGCUCUCUCCCAGGAUACAUGGAUCACAGACCUAGCUCUUGGAAACACAAACAACCUGCUCCAAGAAUUUGUGGCCCUCAGAAGAUGGCUUGCAUCAACAGAUAUCUUGCUGACUGAAGAUCGCGAAGACAACAUCACAUGGCCAUUUUCUGAAAAUGGCACCUAUAGCACGGCUUCAGCUUACAAGAUGCAGUUCGAAGGGCACACCAAAUCACCAUUCAGAAAACUCGUUUGGAAAGCUUGGGCACCGGGCCGCAUAAAAGUGUUCGUCUAG